rnacentral:lncRNA from 1 species
CCAUCCAUCACAACUCAGUCAGCCAAUUCCUCCUAUAUUUUAGAAGAUGUGUAUGCUGAUCUAAUGGCCCAUGAGGGCAUCCUUCAACCUAAAUCUCAAAACUCUAAUGAUCAGCCAUUUCCUAUAGCCAAUGCUGCUGUCCAUUCCAGCAAGUCGAAUAAGAAGAAUGGAGGUUCUUCUACCUUCUACAAGCAACAGCAAUAUGACUCUAGGUCUUGUCAGGGACAGGGUCGUGGCCACAGCAAGGGAUGCAGCAACCAGAGGUCCUACCGCUUUAUACACCA